CAGGGAACUGUCUGUGUGCUAAUGAUAUGGAGUUAAAAGGGAGGAAGGGAUCCAUUCUCAUAGAGGAGGCUUGGAGAUUUGAUGUUUAAAUUAAAAAAACCUCUUAUGAUAGACUUUACUUCUCAAGAUUCCUUUCCUUCCGUCCUGGAUGGACAGUCCCAGUGUGUAAGAAGAGAAAAAAACUGAGAUGAUGUUGGUUUUAAGAGGAAUGCACAGAGUUGAUGUUAGAGUCAAGGACGAAAGGCAGAUCUGAAUCUUCACCUAGUCUCUAGCUGACAAAUGUGCUCUGAUGAGGUGAG